rnacentral:rRNA from 1 species
GAUGAACGCUGGCGGCGUGCCUAACACAUGCAAGUCGAACGAAGCACCUUACCUGAUUCUUCGGAUGAAAGUUUGGUGACUGAGUGGCGGACGGGUGAGUAACGCGUGGGUAACCUGCCCUGUACAGGGGGAUAACAGCUGGAAACGGCUGCUAAUACCGCAUAAGCGCACGAGGAGACAUCUCCUUGUGUGAAAAACUCCGGUGGUACAGGAUGGGCCCGCGUCUGAUUAGCUGGUUGGCAGGGUAACGGCCUACCAAGGCAACGAUCAGUACCCGGUCGGAGAGGAUGAACGGCCACAUUGGAACUGAGACACGGUCCAAACUCCUACGGGAGGCAGCAGUGGGGAAUAUUGCACAAUGGGGGAAACCCUGAUGCAGCAACGCCGCGUGAGUGAAGAAGUAUUUCGGUAUGUAAAGCUCUAUCAGCAGGGAAGAUAAUGACGGUACCUGACUAAGAAGCUCCGGCUAAAUACGUG